rnacentral:rRNA from 1 species
AGACUCCUACGGGAGGCAGCAGUGGGGAAUAUUGGACAAUGGGCGAAAGCCUGAUCCAGCAAUGCCGCGUGAGUGAUGAAGGCCUUAGGGUUGUAAAGCUCUUUUACCAGGGAUGAUAAUGACAGUACCUGGAGAAUAAGCUCCGGCUAACUCCGUGCCAGCAGCCGCGGUAAUACGGAGGGAGCUAGCGUUGUUCGGAAUUACUGGGCGUAAAGCGUACGUAGGCGGUUAUUCAAGUCAGGGGUGAAAGCCUGGAGCUCAACUCCAGAACUGCCCUUGAAACUAGAUAACUAGAAUCUUGGAGAGGUGAGUGGAAUUCCGAGUGUAGAGGUGAAAUUCGUAGAUAUUCGGAAGAACACCAGUGGCGAAGGCGACUCACUGGACAAGUAUUGACGCUGAGGUACGAAAGCGUGGGAGCAAACAGGAUUAGAUACCCUGGUAGUCCACGCCGUAAACGAUGAUAACUAGCUGUUCGGGCUCUACGAGCUUGAGUGGCGCAGCUAACGCAUUAAGUUAUCCGCCUGGGGAGUACGGUCGCAAGAUUAAAACUCAAAGGAAUUGACGGGGGCCUGCACAAGCGGUGGAGCAUGUGGUUUAAUUCGAAGCAACGCGCAGAACCUUACCAGCGUUUGACAUCCUAAUCGCGGAUUCCAGAGAUGGAUUCCUUCAGUUCGGCUGGAUUAGUGACAGGUGCUGCAUGGCUGUCGUCAGCUCGUGUCGUGAGAUGUUGGGUUAAGUCCCGCAACGAGCGCAACCCUCGUCCUUAGUUGCCAUCAUUCAGUUGGGCACUCUAAGGAAACUGCCGGUGAUAAGCCGGAGGAAGGUGGGGAUGACGUCAAGUCCUCAUGGCCCUUACACGCUGGGCUACACACGUGCUACAAUGGCGGUGACAGUGGGCAGCAACCGGGCGACCGGUAGCUAAUCUCCAAAAACCGUCUCAGUUCGGAUUGUUCUCUGCAACUCGAGAGCAUGAAGGCGGAAUCGCUAGUAAUCGCGGAUCAGCAUGCCGCGGUGAAUACGUUCCCAGGCCUUGUACACACCGCCCGU